rnacentral:misc_RNA from 1 species
UACGUGAGCCCCAAGCGUUAUCCGGACUUAUUGGGCGUAAAGAGUCUGUAGGCGGCUUGGCAAGUUUCCCGUCAAAUCUUGAUGCUUAACAUCAAGACUGCGUGAAAAACUGCUAAGCUAGAGGAUGGGAGAGGCAGAUGGAAUUGCCGGUGUAGCGGUAAAAUGUGUUAAUAUCGGCAAGAACACCAAAUGCGAAGGCUUUCUGCUGGAACAUUCCUGACGCUGAGAGACGAAAGCGUGGGUAGCGAAUGGG